rnacentral:rRNA from 1 species
GACGAACGCUGUCGGCGUGCUUAACACAUGCAAGUCGAAAGAAGUUGCGAACGGGUGAGUAACGCGUAAUCACCCUGCCCUUCAGAGGGGGACAACAGUUGGAAACGACUGCUAAUACCGCAUACUGAAGGAGGGGAUUGCGUCUGAUUCGAUAGUUGGAGGGGUAACGGCCUACCAAGGCGAUGAUCAGUAGCCGUGCUGAGAGAGUGAACGGCAACAUUGGAACGGAGACACGGCCCAUAUUCCUACGGGAAGCAGCAGUGGGGAAUCUUCCGCAAUGGAAGGCAGUCUGACGGAGCAACGCCGCGUGAGUGAUGACGGCCUUCGGGUUGUAAAGCUCUGUUAAUCGGGACGCGGUACCGGAAGAGAAAGCCACGGCUAACUACGUGCCAGCAGCCGCGGUAAUUC